GCUAAGCUGCAAGCAGACAAGCCGCCAAAGAGAGAAGACGCAGCUCAGGGCGGGAGGAGCCAGAGGAGAAAACAACAGCGAGGCAGGCGAAUCUUCCGAGGAAGCUGUAGGCAGUCCAGGCAGGCAGCAGCCAGCCAGUCGGGCGCAAGCAACCAAGUCGAGGAUCAGAGGAGAAGCAGAGAACCAAGUCGCUCGAUCGGCGGCGGCGAUGUCGGGGCGGCGGCCGGCGACGUGGGAGCAGGCCGGAGACGAGUACGACUACCUGUUCAAGGUGGUGCUGAUCGGGGACUCGGGCGUGGGCAAGUCCAACCUCCUCUCCCGCUUCACCCGCAACACCUUCUCCCUCGAUUCCAAGUCCACCAUCGGCGUCGAGUUCGCCACCCGCACCAUCCAGGUGGAAGGGAAGACGAUCAAGGCGCAGAUCUGGGACACGGCCGGGCAAGAGCGCUACCGUGCGAUCACGGGCGCCUACUACCGCGGCGCCGUGGGCGCGCUCCUCGUCUACGACACGACCAAGGCCUCGACGUUCGAGAACGCGAGGCGGUGGCUCAAGGAGCUCCGGGACCACGCCGACGCCAACACCGCCGUGAUGCUGAUCGGCAACAAGACCGACCUCGCCCACCUCCGCGCCGUCGCGCAGGCGGACGCGGCGGCGCUCGCGGAGCGGGAGGGCCUGUCGUUCGUCGAGACCUCGGCGCUGGACGCCACCAACGUCGACACGGCGUUCGAGACCGCGCUCACGGAGAUCUACCGGAUCGUCAGCAAGAAGGCGCUGGCGGCGUCCAGCGCUGGCUCUGUCGGGGAGGGGCAGUCGAUUCAGGUGUCGGCCGGCGACUCCGGCGGUCUCACGACGAGAUGCUGCGGUUUCUAGCCAUGAUGGGCUUGGUAGUGAUUGCCAAAAGAUUUGAUGUUCCACGACCAUGUUAGAAGCCAGUAGCCAGAUAAAAGGCUAUGUUUCAGACCAAAUGCAUUGCACAGCCACUAAAAAGAACAACAAAAGUAAAGGAAGGCAAUGCUCACAUUGUCGAGAUGUUCUGAAAAAAGGCCACUUGGCUUCGUUACUGUAUCACCUGCGGAACAUCAUAACCCUAAAUAAAUAGAAGCAGAGGUAAAGAGACAGGUAUGUGUUUUAAAGAAUGAAGAACUGCUACCUGUCGGCCUUGCAACAUUCAAAUUCAAGGUUUCAUCAUAUUGAUGGGUGACACUGAAACUUCCAGCAUUAAAUGAGCAAUCCUUCUUUUUAUCAAGUUCUUUCUUGUCCUUUCUUGAGAGUUUGUAAGCCUGAGCAAAACACAUGAGUUAGUAUUUCAGAAGGGGUUGAGAGUAUGUAUUACAGAAUCAUGACCUGCACUCUAGGCAGCUGUAAGAUGCACAUGAAUGUAUCUAGCACAGAACCAUCUAAUAAGGCACACGGUCGGUAUUUUAGUCUGACAAAACACCAACUAUCACUAAAGAUAACCUCAAUUAUUUUUAAAAAAAUGAAUCAUAUACAAGCUCAAACCUUAAUUCACUCUGUAAUCCACUGGAUAGUAUUCACGAAUGAAACCACGUCUCAGACAAAAUCUCUUAGUCUGCUCUCCUUUCUCACAUUUCAUAAAACUGCUAGCUGCCUUUUCCAAACAAAACUCAAAAUAAAUUCCUCCAAAAUUCCCAUUCAACCAUCAUUUAUUACUUAUGGAUAUCAGUCUAACAACAACAACAGCCCUUUUAAAAUGCAUGAAAAGGUACAUACAUAAAGGUAAUGGGGACAUAUAUGUAAACUAUGUUAUUCAAAUAAGCCAAUAUUGGAUGCGAGAGCACAAAAUUUUAUUGCAGAAAGAUAGAAGUAGUCGCGCGUUCAAUUUCAAUUGUAGUGCUAUAUUGUAUAGCUGCUUUAUGAGCACAAUAUAAAGUCUAAGGAGCAAGUUACUUACAGUGGCAACAUUUCCGUGACUAUGUUCCACUUCAAUACUUGAAACAUCAAACCAGUAGCAUAAGAAACAUCGAGUUCCAACAAAUCAUCCACUGGAAUAUGACAAAAAACACAGUACUUGUCGGCUCCCUCGCACCAUUGCUCCGACAAUGACGACACCGAUUCCGAUGACGAGUAUCCGCUCCGCUCGUAAGCGUGAUGAUUUUGCUUCUCUUAUUGUUGAAAUGCUUGCAUUUCCAGAGAGUAUUGUGACGCCACCAACUGUCCCUGUUGAGGAGUAAGCUUCCACUCCACCCGUAAGCAACUUGUUGGCUUCAUUUUUCUCCAAUGCUUCUUUAUGUGAGGAUUUUUUGUUGUCAUAGUUGAUGUUACGCUGAUGUGUUGUUCAUCUGUGUUUUAUUGAUGUUACAUGUGCACUGGUCGAGAAUGCUACUAGUUCUAAAUGAUGAAUUAACAUGAGGACUGAUAGCUAAUGUCCGUGGGCACCGAUGUGCCGACGUGCUACGAUGGGCGUCGACAUGCUGCUCGCAAAAGAGCCGGUCCUCAGUCGGCGGCGUUGCCUGGCAGCACGUCCACCAUGUGGGACUCCACGAACCCGGCGGCGUCGGGCACGUCCAGGAACGGGUGGACGGCGGCACAAAGAGGUAGCUCGUUCUGGAGCCGGUGCUCGCCGCCCACGACGCGGAAGCUGAGGACGCGGCUGUCGUCGUCCAGGAUGGAAUCUCGAACGCGCGUGGUAGGACUCAGCGAGGAGGACCGACGAGGACUUUAGUCCUUUUUCAAGCCGCGCAUGGGGAUCUUUUUAUCCCGGUUGGAAACACCAACCAGAAGUAAAGACUCACUUUUAUCUCGGUUGGUGUUCAAGGGCUAAAACCUGGGUGGUUGGAGGGGUCUUUAGUCCCGGUUGGUCUUACCAUCCGGGACUGAAGGGUCCCCAUAAGUGGCUGAUUUUUUCACCCAGGACUAAAGGGUUUCCCACGGGUGGCUGAUUUUUGACCCGGGAUUAAAGGGGUCUUUAGUCCCGGUUGCAAAUACUAACCACGAGUAAACCGUGACGCUCCACCUUUUCUCCCGGACCUACUUUAAAUCGGAAAAAAAGGAGACGCAUGGAAAAUCAGUUUUCUA